UGGCGGACGGGUGAGUAACACGUGAGCAACCUGCCUAUCAGAGGGGGAUAACGAUUGGAAACGAUCGCUAAUACCGCAUGACAUAGCGGAACCGCAUGGUUCUGUUAUCAAAGAUUUUAUCGCUGAUAGAUGGGCUCGCGUCCGAUUAGAUAGUUGGUGGGGUAACGGCCUACCAAGUCGACGAUCGGUAGCCGGACUGAGAGGUCGGACGGCCACAUUGGGACUGAGACACGGCCCAGACUCCUACGGGAGGCAGCAGUGGGGGAUAUUGCACAAUGGGGGAAACCCUGAUGCAGCGACGCCGCGUGAGGGAAGACGGUCCUCUGGAUUGUAAACCUCUGUCUUCGGGGACGAAACGAGACGGUACCCGAGGAGGAAGCCACGGCUAACUACGUGCCAGCAGCCGCGGUAAUACGUAGGUGGCAAGCGUUGUCCGGAAUUACUGGGUGUAAAGGGAGCGUAGGCGGGCAGGCAAGUCAGGCGUGAAAUAUAUCGGCUCAACCGGUAACGGCGCUUGAAACUGCAGGUCUUGAGUGAAGUAGAGGUUGGCGGAAUUCCUAGUGUAGCGGUGAAAUGCGUAGAUAUUAGGAGGAACACCAG
rnacentral:rRNA from 1 species